rnacentral:sRNA from 1 species
UGAAUCAAGACAAUAACGUAGGUGAUGA